UACGAAGGGAGCUAGCGUUGUUCGGAAUUACUGGGCGUAAAGGGCGCGUAGGCGGUUUUGUAAGUCAGAUGUGAAAGCCCCGGGCUUAACCUGGGAGGUGCAUUUGAAACUGCAAGACUAGAGAUCGAGAGAGGAAAGUGGAAUUACGAGUGUAGAGGUGAAAUUCGUAGAUAUUCGUAAGAACACCAGUGGCGAAGGCGGCUUUCUGGCUCGAACCUGACGCUAAGGCGCGAAAGCGUGGGGAGCAAACAGG
rnacentral:rRNA from 1 species